ACAAUGCUGCCAAACAUUCUGCAAUGCACAGGACAGCCCCCAACAACAAAGAAUUAUCUGACUUAAAAAAUGAAAAGUUUGAGAAACCCUGCUAUGGGGUCUCUGUCACCCACACUAAAGUGCAGCCUCGAAGUCCUAGACGCAAGUCAUCAUCCCACUUCAGCCUCAAAACUAGCUGGGACUACAGUCACAUGCUACCACAUUUGGGGAGAAAGCAGAGAACACACAGUGGUUUUUUUUGCCUUCGUUCUUUGAAGCUAGCUCACACUUAACCAUAGAAACAGUAUGCAAGAUGUGGUACCUGCACUACCCUGCCCUUGAAACUGUUUGGCUUCUUACGUUCUGACCACCUCCAAACCCACAAUAUUUGAAAACACAGCUUUCCCUGAUGUCUGGCAUUUUUCCAUGAACUGCCAUUGUAUCUCCUUUUAUUUUUUACUACUUUGUUUAAACCCCUCAAACCUUUCAUCAUAAUAUGCUUCCAGUGGGUUUGGGCAGCUACUCUGAGAGCCUGAGUAUAAAUCAACACCAUUGUGAUUCCUGAAGUUGCAAAGUGCUGUCACUCUUGAAAC
rnacentral:lncRNA from 10 species